UGUGCUCUUGCAGUGGUCAGAAGUGCAAGCGGCACUCUUCUGUAGAAAUAAGUUUGCCUUGCUGAGAAAUAUUUUGUCUGAGUGCUCAUUUUCCUUGCGACUCUGAGCUCUUGUUUCUAACAAAAUAGGGGGUCAUCUGGGAUUCCCAUUCUCCUCUGAGGAAGGGCCUCUGAUCACCUCUUAGGAGGAGAUGCAUCCCACUGCUUCAUUGCAGUGGCCUCAGGGGUAAGGAAUCAGGACCCACCCAGCAUGAUAAAUAAACCCAGACUCUCAGCAACACAGGAAGAAAAGGCCUACAGUUACCGUGGCGACCAGGUAACUGUGCACAGACAAAGAACUAAAGACCUUUUAGCACUGACACCACCCUUGGAGCUCCCAGCACAUCAGCAUCAGCCUGGGAUCACAUUCUCAUCAAAAGCUGGAAAGAAGGAAAACUCGAACCGGCUUGGGAAGGACACUAUCUAGUGCUUCUAACUACAGAAAUUGCUGUCCGCACAGCUGAAAGGGGAUGGACACCCCACACACAAGUGAAAGGAGUGAUUUUCACAGCGAGAGAAAAAUGGGCCGUCACCCCAGGGCCCACCCGCACCAAAUUAAAAAGGGCU
rnacentral:lncRNA from 1 species